GAUGAACGCUAGCGGCAGGCUUAACACAUGCAAGUCGAACGGCAGCACAGGUAGCAAUACUGGGUGGCGAGUGGCGCACGGGUGCGUAACGCGUAUGCAACCUACCUCUAUCUGGGAGAUAGCCCGAAGAAAUUCGGAUUAAUACCCCAUAAUAUAUGUCUUUCGUCAUGUUAGUACAUAUUAAAGUACUUUGGUCGGAGUAGAGAUGGCGAUGCGUGACAUUAGUCUAGUUGGUUAAGGUAAACGGGACGUUACCUAACGGACGUACGAAUGUCUAGGGGGUCGUGAGAGGAGUUAUCCCCACCACUGGUACGUGAGACAC
rnacentral:rRNA from 1 species